rnacentral:ncRNA from 1 species
UUCAUGGCACGCGGGUGUCCUGUUGCCAUAGAUCCUUCUAUUCUGCCAUAUCAGCCGCCUUUUGGUGGGAGGCGUUCAGAAGGGCGGCGACAGGGCUGAGAUCAUACCGCUGAACUUGAACGCUAUCAUGAGCGCGUAAGGAGAGCUAUGAAGUCCUAA